CUCUUCUUGUAGUUAAAAGGAAGUAAGGCCUGCCCAAUGAUUUUUAAAUGGCCGCGGUAUUUUGACCGUGCAAAGGUAGCAUAAUCAUUAGUCUUUUUAUUGAGGACUUGAAUGAAUGGUUUAACGAGAUAAAGACUGUCUUUACUUUAUUAAGUAGAAUUUAAUUUCUGAGUUAAAAAGCUUAGAUAUUUUUAUGGGACGAGAAGACCCUAUAGAGUUUAGAUAUUAAUAUUUUUCUUAUUAUUAGUGUGUUAAUUUUUGGUUAAGUAUUAUUAUUUGGUUGGGGUGAUUGAAAGAUAAGGGUAACUCUUUUUGGCUGAUAGAUAUUUAUUAAUAUGAUUUUUGAUCCAUUAUUGAUGAUUAUAAGACUAAAUUACCUUAGGGAUAACAGCGUAAUCUUUUUUAAGAGUUCUUAUUGACAAUAAGGGUUGCGACCUCGAUGUUGGAUUAAGGAGGCUUUUGGGUGUAGAAGCUUAAAGGGCGAGUCUGUUCGACUUAUUUAUUCUUACGUGAUCUGAGUUCA
rnacentral:rRNA from 1 species